rnacentral:rRNA from 1 species
ACCCAGACCGCCAGCUAAGGUCCCAAAGUCAUGGUUAAGUGGGAAACGAUGUGGGAAGGCACAGACAGCCAGGAUGUUGGCUUAGAAGCAGCCAUCAUUUAAAGAAAGCGUAAUAGCUCACUGGUCGAGUCGGCCUGCGCGGAAGAUGUAACGGGGCUAAACCAUGCACCGAAGCUGCGGCAGCGACACUAUGUGUUGUUGGGUAGGGGAGCGUUCUGUAAGCCUGCGAAGGUGACCUGUGAGGGUUGCUGGAGGUAUCAGAAGUGCGAAUGCUGACAUAAGUAACGAUAAAGCGGGUGAAAAGCCCGCUCGCCGGAAGACCAAGGGUUCCUGUCCAACGUUAAUCGGGGCAGGGUGAGUCGACCCCUAAGGCGAGGCCGAAAGGCGUAGUCGAUGGGAAACAGGUUAAUAUUCCUGUACUUGGUGUUACUGCGAAGGGGGGACGGAGAAGGCUAUGUUAGCCGGGCGACGGUUGUCCCGGUUUAAGCAUGUAGGCUGGUUAUCCAGGCAAAUCCGGAUAAUCAAGGCUGAGGUGUGAUGACGAGGCACUACGGUGCUGAAGUAACAAAUGCCCUGCUUCCAGGAAAAGCCUCUAAGCAUCAGGUAACAUCAAAUCGUACCCCAAACCGACACAGGUGGUCAGGUAGAGAAUACCAAGGCGCUUGAGAGAACUCGGGUGAAGGAACUAGGCAAAAUGGUGCCGUAACUUCGGGAGAAGGCACGCUGGUGUGUAGGUGAAGUCCCUGCGGAUGGAGCUGAGACCAGUCGAAGAUACCAGCUGGCUGCAACUGUUUAUUAAAAACACAGCACUGUGCAAACACGAAAGUGGACGUAUACGGUGUGACGCCUGCCCGGUGCCGGAAGGUUAAUUGAUGGGGUUAUCCGUAAGGAGAAGCUCUUGAUCGAAGCCCCGGUAAACGGCGGCCGUAACUAUAACGGUCCUAAGGUAGCGAAAUUCCUUGUCGGGUAAGUUCCGACCUGCACGAAUGGCGUAAUGAUGGCCAGGCUGUCUCCACCCGAGACUCAGUGAAAUUGAACUCGCUGUGAAGAUGCAGUGUACCCGCGGCAAGACGGAAAGACCCCGUGAACCUUUACUAUAGCUUGACACUGAACAUUGAGCCUUGAUGUGUAGGAUAGGUGGGAGGCUUUGAAGCGUGGACGCCAGUCUGCGUGGAGCCAACCUUGAAAUACCACCCUUUAAUGUUUGAUGUUCUAACGUUGGCCCCUGACCGGGGUUGCGGACAGUGUCUGGUGGGUAGUUUGACUGGGGCGGUCUCCUCCCAAAGCGUAACGGAGGAGCACGAAGGUUAGCUAAUCCUGGUCGGACAUCAGGAGGUUAGUGCAAUGGCAUAAGCUAGCUUGACUGCGAGCGUGACGGCGCGAGCAGGUGCGAAAGCAGGUCAUAGUGAUCCGGUGGUUCUGAAUGGAAGGGCCAUCGCUCAACGGAUAAAAGGUACUCCGGGGAUAACAGGCUGAUACCGCCCAAGAGUUCAUAUCGACGGCGGUGUUUGGCACCUCGAUGUCGGCUCAUCACAUCCUGGGGCUGAAGUAGGUCCCAAGGGUAUGGCUGUUCGCCAUUUAAAGUGGUACGCGAGCUGGGUUUAGAACGUCGUGAGACAGUUCGGUCCCUAUCUGCCGUGGGCGCUGGAGAAUUGAGGGGGGCUGCUCCUAGUACGAGAGGACCGGAGUGGACGCAUCACUGGUGUUCGGGUUGUCAUGCCAAUGGCACUGCCCGGUAGCUAAAUGCGGAAGAGAUAAGUGCUGAAAGCAUCUAAGCACGAAACUUGCCCCGAGAUGAGUUCUCCCUGAGACUUUAAGUCUCCUGAAGGAACGUUGAAGACGACGACGUUGAUAGGCCGGGUGUGUAAGCGCAGCGAUGCGUUGAGCUAACCGGUACUAAUGAACCGUGAGGCUUAACCUU